GGAGAUUUCAUCAUGCUUUUGAGAACGGUAAAUAACAGAAAACACACACUGCAUCCUUCUGAAGAUUUCCGUUUAAUACUUCUCGGGCAGUGUUUGGACACGGUCGAGUGAAUCUGAGGAGAGCAAAACCACAGAGAAAGAGGAGCAACCGUAACUCCCAUUGCUCAAUGGACAACGAAAAGACGACAUCUUUGCUGCAGUUAUCAAUUCUUGGUUUAGCAAUCUGCAGAUGAGGUUCAUGGAAGACCCAGAUGGGAAAAGGAAGUUUACCCAGUAUGCAUCUAUGCAGUUUUGGAAGCACAAGGAGGGACCGAGAGUGAAGAAUUAUCUCACGGAAGGCAGAGUACCAAAACCAACAGUACCAAACAGUCUUCAGGCAAGACAGAAAGGCAAAGUCUAGAGAAUGAAUCCUCCAAAAGGAAUCUUAGCCCAAAGGUGCUUACUUGAGCCAAGAGACAGAACACGGCCUCAGAGGAACAUCUUUAAUGAUAACCCAUGUGGGGUGCCAAACUCGAUACUUCUAAAUAGGAUUCCAGCUUAUUGAUCCUUAGUAUGAUUAAUAAAAUAAUUUUGAAAAUAAACUCAGAAAGGAACUUGAGGAUUGAUUUAUAAGAGUUUGAGGCAAAACAACUGUUCUAAUAGAGUCGUGGCUACAAAGAGCGCCGGCCAUGUCUUUUGAGGUGUGUCCAAGAAAGCCAGAAUGUUCAGGACGGAGCUAAGCAAGCAGCUGCCUGCGGAAGGGGUGGGCCCCAUCAGAGAAGGUUCACAGUGUUGGUUAAAGCAUGCUUAGGUGUUUGGCUGGUACCAAAACAAUAGACAGAGUAAGAGAAAGGAAAAGUUACAUGUAUUUAGUUAGAACUCAGAAAAGAGGACAUCUUAGGAGGCUCAGAGGAGCUAUAGUAAAUGUAUUCUGGGAAGAGAAUCUGAGGAGGGUGAAUUCAUUAUCUCACUAAAGGGAAAUUUCUGAGGGAAGGCCUCCUAGACAGUUGGUUGACAGGCCUGUUUGGAUUAAUUCUUAAGGGAGAGGACAAUAGUAUCGCUUUAAAAUUUUUAUGUUAUGCCACCUAGGGCCAGAAGUAGAACUCAGAUUCCAUUCUCUUGAGAAAGAGGAAGCAACUUCUCUUCCCUCAGUGGGCUUCAGUCAAGCUGUGAUACUUUGCACAAGGUGUUUUAAAUACUGAGAAGGGGACUAAGUGUUCCUUCGCUUGUUCGUGUUACACCGGAAACCAGAGGUGGGGCCCGAGGAUGAAUAUGAGGAUGCGGUACAACUUCAGCGGCCGCUAAGUCUGUGACUGGCUGUCUAGCGACCUGGCAAUAUCAGUGCCUUUGUACAUUCUAUGUAUAAUGGACUCCGGAGCUGGCUCCAGCCCAAGAUACUGUAAUUAGUGGUGGAGGGCAA